GAGGGUAUAGCUCAGUGGUAUAGUACAUGCCUAGCCCUAGCAUGCACGAGGUCCUGGGUUCAAUCCCCAGUACCUCCA
rnacentral:tRNA from 1 species